rnacentral:rRNA from 1 species
CGAAGGAUGCAAGCGUUAUCCGGAUUCACUGGGUUUAAAGGGUGUGCAGGUGGGGUAAUAAGUCAGUGGUGAAAGCCCCCGACUCAAUCGGGGAACUGCCAUAGAUACUGUUAUUCUUGAGUGUGGUUGAGGCAGAUGGAAUAUGACAUGUAGCGGUGAAAUGCUUAGAUAUGUCAUAGAACACCGAUCGCGAAGGCAGUCUGCCAAACCAUUACUGACACUGAAACACGAAAGUGCGGGGAUCAAACAGGAUUAGAUACCCUGGUAGUCCGCACCGUAAACGAUGAUCACUCGUUGUUGGCGAUACACAGUCAGCGACUAAGCGAAAGCAUUAAGUGAUCCACCUGGGAAGUACGACCGCAAGGUUG